GCUAUCUUACCUCUGCCGCAAGCUGAAGAAGAUGAAAGAUUUGUCAAAGAAUGGAAGAAAUAUCUUGAGGAAGAGGCUAGAAUAAUGAAGGAUGUUCCUGGAUGG